UCUGCCUCAGGCCUCUGGGUGUGAGGCCUGAGAGUCGGGCCGGAUCUGAAAGAAGGCCGCUUCUCCGGGUUUUACUAGCAACUUGAGGAAGAGUAAGGAAAGUGCUGGGGAGGCUGUCAGCUACAACCAGUCGGCUUCAGGUUUGGGCUUAGAAGUCCCAGAACAGCACUUGGGCUGCUUUCUAUUGGGAAAGACCCGUCCAGACUUAAGCCUCUGGACCAUUCACUGGGGAUUUUCACUUGCUUCUCAGUUGAAACCAGGACAGCUGGGUCUCCCUUCCUUGCUCCGUGUCCUCUGUUCCUGUGAUUCUGGACUGUACCAGGCCCUUUGACCUUCCACUGCUCCUUCAAGAACUUCGGCCCGUCAGUCCCAGGUGCCAAUUUGAAUUUUGAGUCUUGACUUUCUCAGCUUCUGGUGAUCCCCUUGAUUUUUUUGUUACACACUUGUUUCUGGGUUCCUGAUUGUAUUCUAAUAUAUAUUCUACUUUUUCC